GAUGAACGCUGGCGGCGUGCCUAAUACAUGCAAGUCGAGCGAACAGACGAGGAGCUUGCUCCUCUGACGUUAGCGGCGGACGGGUGAGUAACACGUGGAUAACCUACCUAUAAGACUGGGAUAACUUCGGGAAACCGGAGCUAAUACCGGAUAAUAUAUUGAACCGCAUGGUUCAAUAGUGAAAGACGGUUUUGCUGUCACUUAUAGAUGGAUCCGCGCCGCAUUAGCUAGUUGGUAAGGUAACGGCUUAUCAAGGCGACGAUGCGUAGCCGACCUGAGAGGGUGAUCGGCCACACUGGAACUGAGACACGGUCCAUACUCCUACGGGAGGCAGCAGUAGGGAAUCUUCCGCAAUGGGCGAAAGCCUGACGGAGCAACGCCGCGUGAGUGAUGAAGGUCUUCGGAUCGUAAAACUCUGUUAUUAGGGAAGAACAAAUGUGUAAGUAACUAUGCACGUCUUGACGGUACCUAAUCAGAAAGCCACGGCUAACUACGUG
rnacentral:rRNA from 1 species